CGUGUUGCCGUUAGCCCUUCUUUUCAACUUUCCCACUUUUCAUUGUUGUUGAAUCUACUGCAUACAAACCCAUAUCAUCUUCUCUUUUUUAGUAUGCUGAUUCAGUUAUUGGUGAUCUUUCCGUCGAUGAUCCGUCGAUGGAGCUCCUUCUAUAUAUCCACCAUGUUUGGCUGCUCGGCGACCCAUCCGGGCCGGCCAACUGCUUUGCCGUCGGGACACUAUGGACCGACGCAUAGGUGAGCUGCGUGAAUCCACCCAACACUGCUCCUCCGGCUAUUUAACCCGCCAUCGUCUAUGCAUUCACUGACCGCCUUUUUUGUUUACUUUCGUAUCGAGCGUGCGGAUACAGGGCGAUUCACACUAGACAUUCGUUGGUGGUUUGGAGAAGUGCGUCACUGUCGGCUGCGUGUACAAGGUCUCUGGUUUCCCGUUUGGGCUCCCCAUCCUUACUAUCGGACAUGUCAGUCUGCUCAUUGGAUUUCUCGUACAGGAAUGGCGGAGUUACGAACUCCUGGAAACACCGCACCCCAUUCCAAUCGGAAGCGUUUUAAUUGAUUUCGUUCUCGAAGCUGUGCUCCUUCAUUCGUCUGUCACCCUUUUUGGCAAGUGUUCCAUCUAUUCUUUUGCUCUUUUUUUACUCUCCCCUUUACUGGAUCCCCGCUGGCGAUGUGGAGAUGAUGAGGAGUUCUGAUUAACUCCAAUUACUAUUUCACCUGGUGUCAUCGUCGACAUUUUGUAGUCGGGGUUGUUUUUGCUUUUGAUCUCACGUUAACUUGGUUGCAUAUGUAAUUUCACAUAUGAGUCAAGCUACAUAUCAUCAUCCACUUGCAGAAUUAAUUUAAGUUUGUUGCAGUUUCAUGAUUUGAUCUGCAAUUUGGUUACUUAUGCAUAGACACAAUAUGUGUGUUCCAUGAGGAGUUCUCCAUUACUAUUGUCAGAGUAUGUUUCUUGAGCUGCUUGGUUCAACUAAUCAUCUUAUUGAAUUUUUUGUUUCAGUUACUCUGAAAAUUGCAAAACCAUAAAAACCUAUUGACAGUAAAAGAUGCUCACCUGGACCGUGUUCUUUCAGGUUACCUCUUUAUUUGGCAAGCUCCACGAGCUCUGUUCAUCAGAUGUUGUAGUCUCAGAGUCAUAAAAUAUUUUCUCUCUAGCAUAAUGCUAAAACACGCAUAUUGGUCUUGAAGGUUGCUUACCUUGAAUUGCAGCAACACAGACACGUAGGUAGUCUUUUAUUCUUAUUUUGAAUCCAGUUAUUUGGUUUAGGCAUGACAUGAAAGUUUGCUCACCUGAAUAGGUGUUUAAAUUGACAGAAAUUUGCUGUGUUGAGGAUGCGAUAAUCCCUACAUUGAAGUUUAUUGUUUGUUUUUUUGCAUGGGUAAGAUAAAUCAAAUGCUCUUUUAUGAUAUCCAUACUUCAUACAAACUCCUUAAUUAGUAAACAUAAUCAUAGUAAAAUAUUUCAUGUACCGAUUCAACCCAUAUAGUGAUACCCGUCGGGUACUAAAUCCCUUUUUAUGUACUUAUUGUAUAAGUCUUUGUUGUUGUACCUUAUCUACAUAUAUCGAUUCUAUUUAUGUAAUGACAUAUACAAUAUGAUAAGUACAUUUUUUAUGCUUCC
rnacentral:lncRNA from 1 species